rnacentral:misc_RNA from 1 species
AGCAUAUCAAUAUAGAAUUAUCAAGUACAUGAAGAAAUCAAAGGAAACAUGUUUGAGGACUUACAAUGGCUGGAAGAAAGGAAAGCCAAAAGUAAAUUUCAGUUUCAUGGAAAUCCAGAAAAAUGCAACACAUAGCAUAGAUCCAGAGAGGCAAGAGUGAUAAAUCCAUAUCGCAAAGCCAUGUAAUCAGAAUUGUUUAUAGAGCUCCAGAAUUGGCGGCUGAAACAGAGCAGCCAAAGAAGAACUCUGUACUGACUCCAUGGAUGGGAAGUGCGGUGAGAAAUGAAAGUAGUUAAUCGUGUCAGUCUUAUAUUAAACAAUGCAGCUUGAAAAGAACCCGGAAUUCAAGAAAUUUAGGCAAUUUAUUUAUGAAGGCAUUCAAGAAAUGGUAGACCCAAAAAAGAAAAGAAAAAAGCUCAAUCAUUUUGGACUAUAAAAUUCUGCACCAUGUGCACUCUGAGUAGCCAUAUACUUAGCUUCUUGUUCCCAAAUUCUCCAGCUAUAAAUAUGCAAGAAUUAAAAUGGGAAGUCAAAGCUCUCUUUGGAAAUGUUAAUUUUUAAAGGGACAGAAAUUAUAUUGGUGAGAGUAUGCAACAACCUUAAUCAUGGCCAGGGCAAUGGCAAUAAAGUUAUACAAAACAUGGAUUACGCCCAGGACAAACAUCAAACGGUGAAGCUUCUCCAGACUUUCUUGUGAUGCAAAAGACUCAUGACCCUCAGGACAAUGAUCAUGUUCAUGCACCAGGGUGUACAUCUCCUCUCUAUCAGAGGAAUCAUUUGCAUAACUUGAAGCUGAAUCAAACCCGCCUUCCUCUAAUUUUAAAUUAUCAUUUAUUGCACAUGGGGAAAAUCUGCUUCUCACCGCAGAUGUUUUGAUACAAAUCUUGGCCACCACGACAACCCAAUGACCCAUCAACAAUGACAGAAACCCAAAAAGCGUCAUCUCAUCUUUGAUCUUUUCCAGAGCUGAAAGUAGUGCU